rnacentral:tRNA from 1 species
UCCCUGGUGGUCCAGUGGUUAAGAUUGUGCACUUCCACUGCAAGAGUCACAGGUUUGAUCCCUGGUCAGGGAA